rnacentral:tRNA from 1 species
AGCGGGGUGGGGGAGCUUGGAGAUUUUUGCGAUUUAGAUCGCAUUAACCAAAUUUCCCGCCGGGCUCAUAACCCGGAGGUCGAUGGUUCAAAUCCAUCCCCCGCUA